rnacentral:lncRNA from 1 species
GCUCUGAUUAAGGCCCAUAAUUCUGCUCUCUAUGCUGACCAGCCUUGAGGAAGCACGUCUGCUUCUAUCACUUUUAAGUCAGAUACCACAGCAUAUCCUGCCAUCCUUUUUCCAUCCUCCAUAAAGCUGCUGCCAUCAGUAUAUAAAACCAGGUCAGGAUUUUGGAGUGGUUUAUCAGUCAAGUCAGUGCUGCUGGAAAACACCUCAUCUGGUACCUCCAGGCAGUUACGGUCUGGGGGCCCCGCUUCAUCUGGCGGAAAAGUAGCUGGGUUCAGAGUUUGUACAACCUCCACUUUUACCCGUGGAUUUUCACAUAGUAACCCUUGAUAUUGAGUCAUUCGUGCAUGUGUGAGCCAAUGGUGGCCCCUGGUAUCCAUUAGGGUUACAACUGAGUGUGGGACUUUAACAUUGAGGUUUUGUCCCAGGGUCAACUUGUCAGCCUCUCUCACCAACAAGGUGGUAGCUGCCAGUGCUUGGAGGCAAGGAGGCCAUCUGGCAGCAACUGAGUCAAUUUGUUUAGACAGAUAGGCCACUGGCCUCUGCCAUGGCCCAAAUUCUUGAGUUAAGACUCCCAAAGCCAUCCCAUUUUUCUCAUGAACAAAAAGGUUAAAUUCUCUGGUUACAUCAGGAAGUCCCAAGGCUGGAGCCUCAGUGAGUUUGGUUUUGAUUGUCUGAAACGCUGUCUCCUGGCUUGGUCCCCAUUUAAGGGGAGCCUUUUCUUCCCCUUUUAGAGCCUCAUACUGAGGCCUGGCCAGGUCUGAAAACCCGGGCAUCCAUAUCCGGCAGAAUCCUGCUGCCCCUAGGAACUCAGGAACCUUCCAGCGGAUGGUAGGGACAGGAAUGGCACAAACUGCCUGCUUUCUUUCAGUCCCCAGCAUUCGUCGGCCCUGCGUGAUGUUGAAGCCCAGAUACUUGACUUGUUUUUUGCAGAUUUGUGCCUUUUUCUUGGAUACCCGAUACCCUGCCUCCAUCAGUAGGGAAAGGAGAGCUCUUGUUCCCUCUAGGCACUGAGCCUCCGUGGUGCCAGCUAGUAAGAGGUCGUCAACAUACUGUAGCAAAACACAGCCCAGUUUUUGUCCAGGAAAUUCAGCCAGGUCAGCAGCUAAGGCGCCGCUAAAAAGAGUGGGAGAGUGGGAGUCUAGUCCAGGUGAGCUGUUCCUUUGUCCCUGUAUGUGGAUUCUCCCAUUCAAAAGCAAACAAGGGCUGACUAGCAGGUGCCACCCAGAGGCAGAAAAAGGCGUCUUUUAAGUCCAGGCAAGUAAACCACUCAGCAGUGGAGGGGAUCAGCCCUAGCAGGGUACACGGGUUAGGGACGGAUGGUGUAAUGUGACCGUUGCUUUAUUUAUGGCUCUCAAGUCCUGUACUGGGCGGUAGUCCUGUGUUCCCGGUUUUUUCACGGGCAGUAAAGGGGUGUUCCAAGGGGACUGACAUUUUAUUAACAGUCCGUGCUGAAGCAGCCUAUCCAGGUGAACCUGGAUUCCCAGUCGAGCUUCUCUGGGAAUUGAGUAUUGCCAUAGCUUUACCGGUUGAGCUCCGGGUUUUAGAUCAAUCAAGACAGGAGUGUGGCGUUUUGCCAGUCCUGGUGGGUUUCCUUCAGCCCAAACCAAUGGGUAUUUAAUCUCUAGUUCUGGAGGAAUGGUCCCCAUUUCUGAAGGGGAAGAGUGCAAGCGCCAUUCCUCUUCUCUUUUUACAGCAAGAGCCAUGAUUAAAGGAGAGGGGGGUUCUGUCAAUUUAAGUUGGGCCAAUCCAUCAGUAGAAAAGGAAAUUGGUGCCCCCAUUUUAGCCAGCAGGUCUCUUCCAUCAGGGGACUGGGCAGUCAGUUAGGUAAAGAAAUUCAUGUAUUACUUCAUGGCCUCCUAACCGACAUCGUCGAGGACCGCAGAGGGGCCUGUGGGUUUGGUUACCUGUGGCCCCAACAAUGGUGGUUUCUUUCCCUGAGAGGGGAGCCACAGGUUGUGUAACCACAGAAAGUUCGGCACCUGUGUCAACCAUAAAGUCCAUGGGGUGGCCCCCUACUUGAAUUCUGACCAUAGGCUCUCGGGGGCCCAGUUGGAGAGAGCCUGGUCCCCCCAAUCAGACUCAGCUAGGCCGAUCAUGUUGGUGCUGAGUGGCUCAGAUCGGUACCGGCUAGGUGGUGCCUUGGUCUUUUUCUCAGGAUGGUUGGGGCAUUCAUUUUUCCAAUGUCCCUUUUCUUUGCAGUAAGCACAUUGGUCAUGUUCCAGGGGACUCCUUUUCCCUGGCCUUGUGCCUUGUCCCCUACGGGGUGGCCCCACUGGGGGCACCGGUUUUGACAGGGCGGCCGCCAGAAGAGUCACUUUUUGUUUCAUUCUCUUUUCUGCAUCAUGGCGGGCCACCUGGUCUCGGUUAAUAAAACCUUGUUGGCUAUUUCCAACAGUUUAGUGGCAUUCUCUCCUGCAAAGCCUUCUAAUUUCUGUAGCUUUUUACGGAUAUCUGAUUGGGCUUGUCCCACAAAGGCAGCAUUUAUCAUCCGUUGGUUCUCAGGAGCCUAGGGAUCAAAAGGGGUGUAGGUUCGGAAAGCCUCACAUAGUGUCUCAUAGAAUUUGGCUGGGCUUUCAUUCGGCUCUUGUAGUAUCUCACUGAUCUUAGCUAUGUUAGUAGGCCUUUUAGCCCCAGCUUUUGCCCCCUGUAGGAAGGCCUGCCAGUACCUCUCUAGGUUACGUUUCCCUUCUUCAGUGUCAUAGUCCCAGUGGGGGUUUUCUUCUGGGAAGGCUUCCCUCACCCAGUUUGCCAAGUCUGCUCGACCCCCUGCAUUGGCCUGAAGCCAUUUUUGGGCUUCUGUUACAAUUCGCCAGCGCUCUUCAGUGUCAAAUAGAGUAAAAAGGAGUUGCCGGCAGUCUAUCCAGGUGGGACAGUGUGUCUGGAAAAUGAAUUCUAAGAGGUCAAUCAGCGCCUGAGGCUUUUCAGAAUAUGAGGGAGUAUGGUGUUUCCAGUUGAGGAGAUCGGCAGUGGAAAAGGGCUGGUAAUAAUAAAAACGUCCCCCCUCUUGUAUGGUCCCAUCGGGGGCGACUUGCUGUGGUCCCCGUGUCUCCCGUAAGGGCAUUUGUAAUGCUGGAGUGGCUGCUCCCUGAGCUGAACAGAGACGCCUGCUCAUAGGUUCUGGAGAAUCUGGCUGCGGGGGUGAUAUUGCCUCGGGAACUUCAGAAGCAGAAGAAGGAGGAGAAACAGAAGGCGGUAGGCUAUCUGGCAUCUGGGUACCUUCGGCUCCUGGAGGUGGGGCCGGCAGCACAUAAGGUGGUGGCAUAGGGGGCGAGUCCUCAGGUUCCCCUUGAUAAAUAGGUGGCACUUUCUUUUGAGGCAAGGUUUUCUUCUUGGACUGGGCUACUAGCACCCUACGGUCCUGGUCAGUGGUGCAGAACCGAACCUUGGGGGCCUCAAAUAGACAAUUUCCAACCAUUGAUCAAUAUACGGAAAUGGGUCUGGGUGUCCAGGGUCUCCUGUUAUACUGCUGCAACUGUGAACACAUCUAAGGUCCCUUCUGGAGGCCAGCCAGCACCAAAGGAGGGCCAGUCUAGGGUACAGAGGGUACACAGUUUUCCAGGACUCAGCUUAACACCAUAAUCUCUAGAAAAUCCUUUCUUAAAAUUCUUAACCAUAUACUCUAAGACAGUAGGCCUGGAAGCCGAUUUACUCAUUGUGUGAAGUCCCACCCUGUGCCUGCGACACAUGACAAAGAGUGAGGGCAAGGCCUCAGGUAACAAUCGCUUCGUCUGCCUGACCGCUCCCCCGGAGGAGAUAUUUCAGGCGCCUCUUAGCAUAGGUGGGACUGUAUAAACCCCAACGUCAGGAUCCCCCCGAAGAGGGCCACCAGAAGCCGUAUGAGGGUCGCCGUGGAACUGCAGGUUAGGACUCACUCUGGCUCCAUAGUCCAAAGACGGUGGAGCACGGGCUCUCGUUCUCUCCAGUCACUCACACACACACACGCACACCAGAAUUGACAAGCCUCCUGAUCCCAAGGGAGCAAACCCUGACCCAAGUGACCCUUUGGUCACUGAGAGGUAAUCAGUCUCUCCUUCUGCCGUAUGGCGGGUCCUGACUUGGGCAGAUGUCCCCGGGGCACUCACCAGUCCGACGUCCUGUCCUGGAACCUAUUUCCAUUCUCCUUCUGAGUCCGUUCGGGAAGCGGUGUGGGCCAAGGCCACGGCCCGAGUGAGGGUCUGGAUCCGGCAAAAUGGCCGGUGCGCGCUAUCCACCUGUCACCGGGCCGGCGACCGUGGCCUCCCCCGGUUCCCCGACAACGAUGGCACAAGAGGCCAGCUCGGUUGUCGGCUUCCCGGCCAAUGCACCAAAAUGUUGCGGAAACCGCAAAAACUGUGGCAACAGAAGGAGACAAACAGCACUCGGAGAUAUGGAAAAGCAAGGUUUAUUCAGCACCAGUGCAGGCUCAGAGGAGUCCCCUCCAGAGUCUGAGCACCAGGUCUUUGUUCUCAGUCACUUUUAUACACUACAGGGUCUUGAUUUUCCCAUGUAAGCAUCCUGGACCUCCCCCAUCCCCAAGCAGACAGUGUUCCUCCCUAAGAAACUGAGCAAGCAAGGUUACAGAAGCAGAACUGAUAAGCAAUGCUGGGUACAUGAUUAGCAGGGCUGCUGGCUUGGACAGAGAGCACACAGUUGUUACAUUAUUACAAGAAGGGUGGCAUAGUGAUGAGCACAGCUGGAAAGGCUUGCAGCUGCCUUCUUAGCCAAGGGGGGGUUGUUCUUUAGUUAAAACUCCAUUUCACUUCUGCCUCCUGUAUUCUGCUGUUAGCUUCUUCUAGGGAAUUUUUUAUUUCAGUUACUGUAUUUUGCAUCUCUUCUUGUUGAAGUUUUAUAUCUUGUAUGUCUUUGGUCAGUGUUUCCUGUAAGUUAUCCAUCUUUACCUCCAAUUUAUUUCCAAUGUCUUGCAUCAUCUUCAGCAUCAACAGUCUAAAGUCUUUUUUCUGAAAGCUGAGAAUCUCCUCAUCUCUUAGCUGAUUUUCUGGGGUUUUUCCUUUCUCCCUCAUCUGAGUUAUCAUUCUCUGUCUUUUUGUUUUUAUAGGUUUUUGGUGUGGUGACCUUUUUACAGAUAAUAGAGUUGUAGCCUCUCUUCCUUCUGAUGUCUGCCCCCCUGUGGCUGAAGUCGGUAUGGGGGGCUUGCUGUAGGCUUCCUGGUGGGAGGGCCUGAUGCCUGCCCACUGGUAGGUGGAGCCGAUUCUAACCCCUCUGGUGAGUGGGGCUUAGUCUCUGGAUGGGAUUAGAGGCAGCUGUGUGCCUGAGGGGUCUUUAGGUAGCCAGUUUGCUGAGGGGCGGGGCUGUGAUCCCACCUGGGUUGUUUGCCCUGGGGCUUCUCAGCAGCUGACUGAGGGGUGGGGCCAGAUUUUCCCUAAAUGGCCACCUCCAGAGAAUAUUCCCAAGAGCUUUGCUUUCAAUGUCCAUCCCCUACAACAAGCCAUGUUCACCCCUGUUUUCCCAGGAUGUCCUCCAAGAACUGCAGUCAGGUUUGACCCAGAUUCCCAUGGAGAUUUUGCUUUGCCCUGGGACCCAGUGCACGUGAAAGUCUGUGUGCACCUUUUAAGAAUGGGGUCUCCGUUUCCCCCAGUCCUGUGGAGCUCCUGCGCGCAAGUCCCACUGGCCUUCAAUGCCAGAUGCUCCAGAGCUCUUUCUCCCAGUGCCAGAUCCCUGAACGUGAGGGUUUGAUGUGGGGCUCAGAACUCUCACUCCUGUAGGUGAGUCUCUGUGAACCAGUUAGUUUUCAGUCUGUGGAGCUUCCUACCCAGGAGGUAUGGGGUUGUUUAUAUCACAAAAUCGCCCCUCCUACCUCUUGAUGCGUCCUCCUCUUUUUCUUCUGGAGUAGGGUAUCUUUUUUAAGGUUUCCAGUCCAUGUGGGUGAAGAGUGCUCAGCCUUUAGUUGUGAAUUUUGUUGUUUUUAGGAGAGAAGUUGAGUUCCAGUCCUUCUAUUCCACCAUCUUAAUCCCCUCUCCCCCAAACUAGUGUACACUUAAACUCACACUUAAACUAAUACCAGGACAUUUUUCUAAAACUGAAUUUAGCUUGCUGCUUCAAAGAAAACAACUUUGUUAUCAAUGAUGAAAUUUGACCUUUAAAGAGAAAAUUAGCAUUUAGGAAAAGCUGCCUAUCACUGUUGAGUCUGAUAAUUUCCUGAUAUUUAGACUUUUAAUUAAUUUAUUUAUUUUUUGGCUGCACCUCUGACAUAUAGAAGUUCCCAGGACAAGGACAAAAUCCGAGCUGCAGCUGUGACCUAUGCCACAGCUGUGGCAAUACUGAAUCCUUAAGCUACUGCCCCACAGUGGGUACUCCUUUGGCUUUUUAAGUAAAUGAGAUCAGCAGUAUGUAAUCACUACUGUGUUUUUUUUGUUUUUGUUUUUUUUUCUUUUAAGGCCACUCCUGUGGCAUAUAGAGGUUCCCAGGCUAGGGGUUGAACUGGAGCUACAGCUGCUGGCCUGCACCACAGCCUCAGCAACACCAGAUCUGCACCGUAUCUGCAACCUAUACCACAGCUCAUGGCAAUGCUGGGAUCCUUUGACCCACUGAGUGAGGACUGAGUGAGGUCAGGGAUCGAACUUGUGUCCUCAUGGAUGCUAGUCAUGUUCAUUACCACUGAGCCACAACAGGAAUGCUACAUGUAUCUUUUUUUUGCUAUUUCUUGGGCCACUCCCGUGGCAUAUGGAGGUUCCCAGGCUAGGGGUCGAAUCGGGAGCUGUAGCUGCCAGCCUACACCAGAGCCACAGCAACACUGGAUCCGAGCCGUGUCUGCAACCUACAUCACAGCUCACGGCCACGCCAGAUCCUUAACCCACUGAGCAAGGGCAGGGAUCAAACCUGCAACCUCAUGGUUCCUAGUCGGAUUCGUUAACCACUGCACCACGACGGGAACUCCCAUGUAUCUUUUUGAAUGAAACUUGUCUGGAUAUCUGCCCAGGAGUGAGAUUGCUGGAUCAUGUCGUAGUUCUAUGUUGAGUUUUCUGAGGAACUUCGAUACUAUGUUCCACCCUUUAACAUUUCUUUUAGGGUAGGUUUACUAUUGAUAAUUUUUUUUUUUUUGUUUUUUGUUUUCUUUUCUGAGAAGUUCUUCAUUUCUCCAAAUCUACAUGAUAAUCUUUCUAGGUAGAGUAUCCUAGGAUGAAGUUCUUUCCCUUUUAGUAUUGUGAAUAUAUCAUUCCACUUUCUUCUGGCCUGCAAAGUUUCUGCAGAAAACUCAGCAGAUAGCUUAUUGAGAUUCCCUUAUAUGUGACUCUGCUUUUCUCUUGCUGCAUUUAGAAUUCUCUCUUUAAGUUUUGCCACCUUAUUUAUGAUAUGUCUUGAUGUGGGUCUGUUUAAGUUUAUCCUUUUUGGAACCUUCUAUGCUUCCUGUACCUGGAUAUCUGUUUCCUUCUUCAGGUUUGGGAAUUUUUCAGCAGUAAUUCAUCAAAUACAUUUAAGAGCCCCUUCUCUCUCUUCUCCUUCUAGAACCCCUAUAAUGCAAAUUUUGGUACACUGCAUUUUUCAAAAAGUGGUAAAGAUAUUGAUUUAUAUUAGAUAGUUGAUAAACCAACAGAGACCCACUACAAUGAGGUAAUAGAGGAGGAAAAUGGGACAUUUUUUAAU